AUGAGUUAGGGUCCUCCGGGCCCGACCUCCAACCCUUUGUUUUAACUACCAUGUUGCUUUGGCGGGCCCGUCUUUAACCGGACCGUCGGGGGUUUUUAACCUCUGGCCAGUGCCCGUCAGUAGCCUUACCACAAAUACCUUUUUAACCAUGUUAUAUCUGAAAAAUAGUUAAAUAAACUA
rnacentral:misc_RNA from 1 species